UACCCUUUGAGCAUAAGAGGAAGGCAUUAGAGAACGGAGCACGGCUAGGUACUCGUUCAUCUGUUUACGGCGAUUUCUCUCGACAGCGAUAUGGAUCCGGCAGAAGAGAGAAGACAUUCAAAGAGGCAAAACAAGCACAUCAACAUGUUAGGGUUCGUGGCCGAUUCAGAAUACGGGAUUCCUAGAAGGUGUCCGUGUGGUGGGAGACUCAUUAAUGAGGUUCGCGGGAAGGAGGACUACGACACUCUUCCUGGGAAGCGGUUCUUCACCUGCAAAAACUGCGAGGUAAGUCUGCUUUUUCACCGUCUGAUUAUCGUUGAUGUUUUCCAUUAUCGAAAAGACUCUGAUUAUUCUUUAUGUUGUAACCAAGGCUGAUGGGUUACAUUAUCGUCAGCCUUGGGUGAUAGGUGUGCAGGAGGAGCUCGAAAGGCUGACAAAACGGGUGGAGGAGGCUGAGCAGGUGAUGAUGGGGGUGUUGAAUCUCAGUAAACAGAUUGAGACACUUGAGGAAGAGGUUAAAAUCCUCUCAAGGCAGGUAGACUACCUCACUGUGCAGGUCGAUACCCUCGAGAAGGUCUGCUUCGACUGACAAGCAAAGGUCACGGGUUGGAGGUCACUGUGUUGCAGGUCACGGGUUGGAA